rnacentral:rRNA from 1 species
CAGUCGCCGCGGGAAAACGGAGGGGGCUAGCGUUGUUCGGAAUUACUGGGCGUAAAGCGCACGUAGGCGGCUUGGUAAGUUAGAGGUGAAAGCCCGGAGCUCAACUCCGGAAUUGCCUUUAAGACUGCCGAGCUAGUAGGUGAGAGAGGUAAGUGGAAUUCCGAGUGUAGAGGUGAAAUUCGUAGAUAUUCGGAAGAACACCAGUGGCGAAGGCGGCUUACUGGCUCAUUCUAGACGCUGAGGUGCGAAAGCGUGGGGAGCAAACAGGAUUAGAUACCCGCGUAGUCCCUGUCUCUUAUAU